rnacentral:rRNA from 1 species
GGUAUCAGAAGUGCGAAUGCUGACAUAAGUAACGAUAAAGCGGGUGAAAAGCCCGCUCGCCGGAAGACCAAGGGUUCCUGUCCAACGUUAAUCGGGGCAGGGUGAGUCGACCCCUAAGGCGAGGCCGAAAGGCGUAGUCGAUGGGAAACGGGUUAAUAUUCCCGUACUUGGUGUUACUGCGAAGGGGGGACGGAGAAGGCUAUGUUGGCCGGGCGACGGUUGUCCCGGUUUAAGCGUGUAGGUGUGUGUUCCAGGUAAAUCCGGUUCACUUUAACACUGAGGCGUGAUGACGAGGCACUACGGUGCUGAAGUAACAAAUGCCCUGCUUCCAGGAAAAGCCUCUAAGCAUCAGGUAACAUCAAAUCGUACCCCAAACCGACACAGGUGGUCAGGUAGAGAAUACCAAGGCGCUUGAGAGAACUCGGGUGAAGGAACUAGGCAAAAUGGUGCCGUAACUUCGGGAGAAGGCACGCUGACACGUAGGUGAAGUGAUUUACUCACGGAGCUGAAGUCAGUCGAAGAUACCAGCUGGCUGCAACUGUUUAUUAAAAACACAGCACUGUGCAAACACGAAAGUGGACGUAUACGGUGUGACGCCUGCCCGGUGCCGGAAGGUUAAUUGAUGGGGUCAGCGCAAGCGAAGCUCCUGAUCGAAGCCCCGGUAAACGGCGGCCGUAACUAUAACGGUCCUAAGGUAGCGAAAUUCCUUGUCGGGUAAGUUCCGACCUGCACGAAUGGCGUAAUGAUGGCCAGGCUGUCUCCACCCGAGACUCAGUGAAAUUGAACUCGCUGUGAAGAUGCAGUGUACCCGCGGCAAGACGGAAAGACCCCGUGAACCUUUACUAUAGCUUGACACUGAACAUUGAGCCUUGAUGUGUAGGAUAGGUGGGAGGCUUUGAAGUGUGGACGCCAGUCUGCAUGGAGCCGACCUUGAAAUACCACCCUUUAAUGUUUGAUGUUCUAACGUGGACCCGUUACCCGGGUUGCGGACAGUGUCUGGUGGGUAGUUUGACUGGGGCGGUCUCCUCCUAAAGAGUAACGGAGGAGCACGAAGGUUGGCUAAUCCUGGUCGGACAUCAGGAGGUUAGUGCAAUGGCAUAAGCCAGCUUGACUGCGAGCGUGACGGCGCGAGCAGGUGCGAAAGCAGGUCAUAGUGAUCCGGUGGUUCUGAAUGGAAGGGCCAUCGCUCAACGGAUAAAAGGUACUCCGGGGAUAACAGGCUGAUACCGCCCAAGAGUUCAUAUCGACGGCGGUGUUUGGCACCUCGAUGUCGGCUCAUCACAUCCUGGGGCUGAAGUAGGUCCCAAGGGUAUGGCUGUUCGCCAUUUAAAGUGGUACGCGAGCUGGGUUUAGAACGUCGUGAGACAGUUCGGUCCCUAUCUGCCGUGGGCGCUGGAGAACUGAGGGGGGCUGCUCCUAGUACGAGAGGACCGGAGUGGACGCAUCACUGGUGUUCGGGUUGUCAUGCCAAUGGCACUGCCCGGUAGCUAAAUGCGGAAGAGAUAAGUGCUGAAAGCAUCUAAGCACGAAACUUGCCCCGAGAUGAGUUCU